rnacentral:rRNA from 1 species
CCUACGGUGGUCAGCAGUGGGGGAUAUUGCACAAUGGGGGAAACCCUGAUGCAGCGACGCCGCGUGGGCGAAUAAGUAUUUCGGUAUGUAAAGCCCUAUCAGCAGGGAAGAAGAAAUGACGGUACCUGAGUAAGAAGCACCUGCUAAAUACGUGCCAGCAGCCGCGGUAAUACGUAUGGUGCAAGCGUUAUCCGGAUUUACUGGGUGUAAAGGGAGCGCAGGCGGCACGGCAAGCCUGAUGUGAAAGCCCGCGGCCCAACCGCGGGACUGCAUUGGGAACUACCGGGCUGGAGUGACGGAGAGGUAGGAGGAAUUCCGAGUGGAGCGGUGAAAUGCAUAGAUAGCACGCAGAACUCCGAUUGCGAAGGCAGCAUACCGGCGCCCGACUGACGCUGAAGCACGAAAGCGUGGGUAUCGAACAGGAUUAGAUACCCCUGUAGUC